rnacentral:rRNA from 1 species
GGAACGUUGAAGACGACGACGUUGAUAGGCCGGGUGUGUAAGCGCAGCGAUGCGUUGAGCUAACCGGUACUAAUGAACCGUGAGGCUUAACCCUACAACGCCGAAG